GCACGGAGUUAGCCGAUCCUUAUUCUACGGUACCGUCAAGCUCCUACACGUAGGAGUGUUUCUUCCCGUACAAAAGCAGUUUACAAUCCAUAGGACCGUCUUCCUGCACGCGGCAUGGCUGGUUCAGUCUUGCGACCAUUGACCAAUAUUCCUCA
rnacentral:rRNA from 1 species